GGAUGGGAGGUCAGUAUGGUUAAGACAAUGCACCCUGGUGCUCACCAGGGAUGAUUUGGCUGUCUUGGAUGACCAUGGGGCUGGACCCUUCCUUUCUCAUUACUCCUUGAAAGUCCCUUCCACCUGCUCUGUCAAAUAAGAUGAUCCCAGAUGGACAAGGACAUGCCAGUCAAGGGUGUGUCAUUAGCUUUUCUUUUCUGCUGAACCCUUCCAUCAAGCUCUCAAGACCUGACACAUAGGAAGUCCCCAUCAAAUAUUUGUUGGAUAUGUGAAUGAAACAAAUAAUCAGCACCAUUGGUCUCUUGAAUUAAGCUGUGCUUUUUUUU
rnacentral:snRNA from 1 species